rnacentral:rRNA from 1 species
UGGGGAAUUUUGGACAAUGGGCGAAAGCCUGAUCCAGCAAUGCCGCGUGUGUGAAGAAGGACUUCGGGUUGUAAAGCACUUUUGCCCGGAAAGAAAUCCUCUGGGUUAAUACCUCGGGGGGAUGACGGUACCGGAAGAAUAAGCACCGGCUAACUACGUGCCAGCAGCCGCGGUAAUACGUAGGGUGCAAGCGUUAAUCGGAAUUACUGGGCGUAAAGCGUGCGCAGGCGGUUUUGUAAGACGGAUGUGAAAUCCCCGGGCUUAACCUGGGAACUGCAUUCGUGAAUGCAAGGAUAGAGUAUGGCAGAGGGAGGUAGAUUUCCACGUGUAGCAGUGAAAUGCGUUGAGAUGUGGAGGAAUACCGAUGGCAAAGGCAGCCC